AAGUCUGGACCUUUCAGGAGAGCACUGUAACUGACGCAGCUCUCAGAGAGUAGACUGACUUGCCAGUGCUUCUGGGUCAGAGGCCAGCGACAAGUCUGUAUGUGGACGCCGGUGUCUGCAGUAAAACUUUUGAUGCCCGUGGUUGUUUAUUCAAACAUGUAGAAGCCGUUAAAACUGUCAAUUCAAAAGCAUAAAAAACGUUGAUGUCUUUUAAUUUUUUUUUUCUCUGUAUGUGACACAAAUUAGGAGGGUUUAAAUUCUGCAGCAUUCGUUGUUUUUGAUCUGUUUCGGGCAGCAGUUUUCAUGAAAAAUGGCUUCAGCUCAAUACGCCCCUCAGGUGCCCCUCCAUCCCAACCUUUAACCCCACCCCCGAUGUGCAGUGUUCUGAACAGGGCAGAUCUGACAUGUUCAGUCAAGCAUCCUAUCCCACAAGGCACUGCUCUCUCUUUUUUUUCUUUUUUUUUUGCUGUGCGCUAAUUAGCGAUAGCUGAAAAUCAGAUUAAUUCAAAGGUCAUUCAGUUUGCCUUCAGAAGAACAGGUUUUCAGUAAAAACUCUGGAUGGCUGACGGAUGUUUGUUUGAAGAGACAUGUAGAUCUCUGCACACCUAUAAGGAAAGACACUUGGCAUCAAACCUCACAGGGGGAAAUUCAUGCUUCUUUUCUGCAAAGGAUUGGUUGAUGAAAUAUUUAUACUGUGGCUAGCAGUUUGAUGUUCCCAGCUGACAAGAGGUACCAGUGGGAGUUGUUUUUCUGUGAAUAAUAGAAAGUGGUAACAUCUCCUCUAGCCUCCUCCUACUGAUAUAAUGAUCAUGUACAAUAAAUGAUUUUGUUAUAUUUUUAACCCCAGGCAAUUGGCAAAAAAAAAAAAACUAUAGGACCAAAAUUUACAUAUACUGAAAUUGUACUGAAGUGUCUUUUCUGGACACAAUGUAUAUAUUGUUGUACUUUUAUUUUUACACUGUUUUCAUUUUAGACUGUAAUACUGGCUGUUGUAUGCUAUAUUAUUAAUGUCCUUGUUUCUGCUGUCAUGUAUUUAAUGCUUUGUGCAUCGUAGAUUUAAAAAGCAAACAUUGUCUAGCCAAAUUAACUUAUAAAUUAAUAACGUUGAAUGGAUAAUGACGUUAUUUAAAUAUUCAAAUGUUGUUAUUGUCAAUUAAAGUAGGAGGACUCAGAAUACAGCAUUGUACGGUGGUGAAUGGAUAAAUUGCGUCGACACACAGGAUUCAGCAGGAUGCGAAGAGGGAAAGAGGGAGAAAUGCACAGCAAAUGGUGCAUUAAAUGCGCCAUGAGGCAGCAGGUGGGUGCUGACGAAGCCUCUUCCUUCGGGGCUGUCCAUGACGCAGCGUCUUUCCUCCCGCGCGUACGAAAACGCGCCACGGCUCGGCCUGCCCCGCAGCAGGAGGGGGGAGCGCGUGUGUCCCUGCGCUGUGCUGCGCUGCGCCGCGGCGCGAGCAUCGUUACCAUGCGCCGCACGUCUUGGUCCCGGACGCUCUCUGUCCCGCGGGCCAGGCUGCAAAAUGGCAGGCGGUGGCUGUGAAUUUAGAGACGACGGAGUCACGGCACCGGUGGAUCGUUGUGAGUGAGCGUGCCAAUGUACAAUAAAGGCGAUACGACAGCACUCCCCUAGAGCCGGACAUAGGUGGUGAUUAUUUCCCUGUACUUGACACCAGCGGUGUAUACUUCUCGCGCAGUUGACGUAUGCAGAAUGCGGGUGCAUGACUGACCAAAGUAACUGCUGUUGAGAUGUUGAGACAGACCCAGGAAAAUCAACCCCUUCCUCCCCAAGUUACACGACGGCUAACUGUAAG